rnacentral:rRNA from 1 species
UACGUAGGGGGCAAGCGUUGUCCGGAAUCAUUGGGCGUAAAGCGCGUGUAGGCGGCCAGAAAAGUCCGCUGUGAAAACUCGAGGCUCAACUUCGAGCUGUCGGUGGAAACCAUCUGGCUAGAGUCCGGAAGAGGAGAAUGGAAUUCCCGGUGUAGCGGUGAAAUGCGCAGAUAUCGGGAAGAACACCCGUGGCGAAGGCGGUUCUCUGGGACGGUACUGACGCUGAGACGCGAAAGCGUGGGGAGCGAACAGG